rnacentral:tRNA from 1 species
UCCUGGUUAGCUCAGUUGGUGAAGCACUCCACUGGAAAUGGAGAGAUCUCUGGUUCGAUACCAGGACCAGGUG